GACGAACGCUGGCGGCGUGCCUAAUACAUGCAAGUCGAGCGGACAAAGAGGAGCUUGCUCCUCGAUGUUAGCGGCGGACGGGUGAGUAACACGUGGGCAACCUGCCUGUAAGACUGGGAUAACUUCGGGAAACCGGAGCUAAUACCGGAUAAUGCUUUUGAACUCAUGUUCGAAAGCUGAAAGAUGGUUUCGGCUAUCACUUACAGAUGGGCCCGCGGCGCAUUAGCUAGUUGGUGGGGUAACGGCUCACCAAGGCAACGAUGCGUAGCCGACCUGAGAGGGGGGGCGCCAACAGGGGGAGCGACCCGGGCCCCACCCCACGGGGGGGGGCAACAGGGGGGAUCUUUCGACAAGGGACAAAGGUCUAAGGCAGCAGCCCGGGGGGGGUAAGAAGUUUUUUGGGAUGUAAAACCUUUUUUUUGGGGAAAAACAAAUAACGGAAGUAACUCCGGUUCCCUGGAGGGACCCAAACAAAAAGCCCAGGCCAACGCCGGUC
rnacentral:rRNA from 1 species